rnacentral:lncRNA from 1 species
ACUUUAUGAUCAACCCAAGUAUGAUCAGAGUUCAUCCUUCGUAUCUAGGUGUACCCUCCUCCAUUACAUCAUUUUAGAGUGAUCUAGUAAAGCAAUGAACAACAUCAAUAUCUCAAUUAGAAAGCCUCUUUUUUAAAUUCAAAAAGGCAAUGAACUAAAAUCACAAAAUGACAUGAGUACCCAUAAAUCUUGCACAAAAAGACAAAUCCAAAAACCUAAAGAGAUCUAAUUAGGAAGAAUAUGUGCAUACAAUAAGCUUCUAUAAUAAAUAAAAGACUCCCAAUCCUCCCAAAACACUGUAAUCAUCAAGGAAUCAAGUGAAGAACAAGGAUGUGAAGAGUCUGAAAUAUAGUAGUCCAUAGUUUUGCCUGCCAAGCUAAAGAUCGGUGAUACACCAACAAGAGCUCCUCACAAAAAAAUCUAAAAAAAGAAGCAGAUUCUUUCUAAUGGAUAUCUGGCAACAAUAAGCAAACUCAUAAUAGAGCAAUAAAAACAUUUUGAAAAAAAAAAUUGCACAAAGCUAUAGUGUGAUAUCAUCAUAUCAUGACUGACAAACAUCAUCAAUCAAUCAACAGCCUAAAGAAUUCAGGAAAAAGAUUGCAUUGCUGAAGUCAAAUGAUGGAGCAACAUUUAAGUACCUUGUAACUGAAUCCAAGACUUGCACAUGCGCAAGUUUAAGUAAAAUGAAAAGCUAUUUAUAUACCUUUUUUAGAUAAUUGAUGAAUAAAUUUAAAGAUAUGCACAAACAGUUACAUAUGGUUUUUUUCAGACAAAUAAAUUCUAUGAUUGAGUUUCUAAAUAUAUAAUGUGAUGGGUUUAACAAAAAGAAAGAUGAUCUAGUAGUUAUAUUGAGGUAAUAAAUGAUAAUGUAUAAUGGAUUUGUCACUAGUAUGAUUACAGGAAGAAUGUCUAAUCCUCUAUUAUUAAGUGCUUAUAUCAAAAUCAGCUUAAAAUCCUUAUCUUAUUACACUGAUAGUGGAUACAAGAAUUUGAAACCUUCGCUGAGAUAGCAUUGAAAUCUAAAGCAAUGGAAUCACUCACUUUCUCUAGAAAAAGAUCCUCUAUCACCAAUAACACCCACGCUCCUUGGUUCACUGACAACCCUGUUCAGCUGAGAAUACAGAAAGAGCAUGUCAAGACAGACCAAUACCAUGGAUAUUAUCAGCAAAACUGAAUAAUAUCAAUUUAGCUAACAUAAGCAGAUGUAAAACAGAAGGUACACGAGAUUUAUGCUAAUGAAAUUGUCUACCACUUAAACAGAAUGGUGUCCCUGUUUUUUUUAUCAACAAGGCACAAAACGAAUAUUACUCAUAAAAAAGAACAUAAUAACAGACUUUUCAUCACAAGUGUCACAAUGAGUAGUUUAGUUUUUAAUAGGAAUAAAUGAUAUGCACAAACCCAGUCUUAACUGAUCAGUAACCUUCAACUGAUCCAAGCAUAAUCCCAACUGAUCAUGGUCAAUUCUGUUAAAUCCUGUUAAAUCAUAACUGACAGCAGAGGUUCAAGUUCUCACAAAGGUUCACAGAACUGAUAUCCAAUAAGUCUAUAAAAUUAUAUUGAAAAAAUCAAAUAACUUAUAGAACACAAAUAUAUGUACUGUGAUGAAAAAUUUAAAAGAACAGUUAUAUGUAAUUAUCAAAUAUCAGUUAUACAAAAUUAUUUGUGCUAAUACAAUUCAUAUGACAAUUUUUAGGUAAAUACAUCACAUAGAUACAGUUCCGAAAAUGGUUAUAGAUGGAUGCAUCAUAUAAAUACAAUUUUAAAAAUAGUUUUAUGAAAGAAAUUUUCAGCCAGCUAGAUGGUCUUGAACAAUGUGGUACAUGGUUUAAAACACAAGCUGGAUGGUAUAUAACAACUAGUAUUUACCAAUUCGACUCAGUUCGGUAUAGGACGAUACAUGGAUAUAUCCAUGUUUUAUUUUAUUCAGCAGUAUCGAGCAGUACAGAUCGGUAUACAGUUCGAUAUCUUGGUACCUUACUGGUACAAUAGGUUGUUUAGUAUCAGAUCGGAUCGGUAUUAAAAUCUUGAUGUCAUGGGUCCAGCAUACAUUGCCUACCCUGCCCUGCGACCUUGACAGGGGAAAUUAAGCUUAAUCAUAAAUUAAUUCCCAUAGCUAGUAAUGAGACCCCCCUUUCCAUUCACCCUCUUCUCUCACUCCUUUUUCCACCAUAGCUAAGUCAGGCAAGUUCCAACUGAUAACCAAAAUAAGGCCAAAAAUUUAACAAACCCAGACCCAUGACUGGUCAGGAUCUACCAAUCAAACGAACUAGCACUUUAUGGGUCAUUCCUUAAUUUUUUUUGUUUGUUACCCAAUAGCAACAAAGGAAUUACUUCCCGAAUUUUCACUGUUCCCGACUACAAUGAGAAACUACCUUCUUGCCUACCAUAAUCAUCAAUUGCAGACCAAAAUAGUGCCCAUCUCCACCUUUACUAACUAACAAUUAAAAAAAAAUGUCUCUGCUCUCCACUGAUGGAAGACAUGAAAACUAGUACAUAUUAUACCCAUUACCACUACUUAUGAAUCAAACCUAUACCACUUACAAUCAAGAACUAUGGACUGCAUGCAGUAACAUUUUGUAUAAAAAAGGAAGAAAUCUAGCAAACUUUUUUAUAUGGUUUCAAUGUUAGAUUCAAAACUAGAUAAAUAAAAAAUAAAUAAAUAAUACAUUUAGUUUUAUGCACCAUACUUCCUCGAACCAACUACUAAUUGUUUGUCGUAAAGUAAGCAACCAACGCAUUUUACCCAAUUCUUCGAAUUCUUCAUCCUUCAAAUGUUCUUCGCACUUAAUAUAUGUAAUACAUGUAAUUGGUAACCAUACUGCCUAGAGUGAAAAUAAGACACAUUUUUAUAAUUCAAUCAUGACAUGUCAAAAAAAAUUCUGUCAGCGAGUAAAUAAUAAAAAAUUGAUAGGUAAAAACUUACCUUCCUAAAGGUGCUCUCAAGGUCAUCAAUCUCGGACAAGGAUCCUAAGCCUUCAAACUGCAAAUAUGGCAAAAAUAUAUAUCCCAAUUUUAGCUAUGAAAAUUUCCAGAAUCUAAAGCUUUUUUGGAAGAAUAUAUCAUGAGCUUAAACAAAGUGUAAUUUCCAUAAAGGAACUUUAUAUAGAUAGCAACAUGUAAAAACAAUGAAUCGAUCCAUAGUAUGAAACUUUAGGUGACAAUUUGUUAAAAUCAAAGCCACUACCAUAGCGUAAAAAAUGUACUUAAAUAAAAGAAGGGAAGAUGGAUCCAAGUAAAAAACAGAAUAAAAAAAAGGUUUAUACAUCAGAUCAAUAUGACUUCUUUAAAAAAAAAAGUUGAAUCUUGUUUACUUCAUAUUAAAUAUUGAAUCAUCUAGUGUUUAAGAUUGUCUGACAACUUUUAAACUAACAUCCACAUAAAGUUAUUCCUCUUUGGCUAUGUCUUAAAAGUCCUUAUUUAUAGCAAAUAAGGACAUUAUUCCUAUGUUUAAAUUUUAUUAUAUAUCAAAUAUUAUAUCCAGCAUUAUCAAGAAACCUAGAUCUUUCCUCCACCCAAUUAAUUUUACACAAAAAAUUAUAUUAAUUUCUCCUCCUAAUCAUUAUAACCACUAGUUCUAAUUCCUUUUUCAAAAGUGUUCAUAUAUUUCUAUAUGCUACUCCAAUUUUAUGGUCUAGAGCUAUUUUCUUUACCCAUAAAUAAUCCUAAACAAGACAAGUACUCAGGUUUUGCACCAUAUUUAGAUGCCCAUGUGAUAGGUUGUUAUCGAUAAUCUCCUAGCCCAUCUUUGCACUAUGGAGCAUCCAAAUGCUAAAGAUGACUCACAUCACUUCUAGGAGAUGAACAAGUGGUGCUAUAAUAUCAGUUAACAUCUAUGCCCAAGAAACCUGACAAAGUUUUAUGCAAGCUGUCAGUUGUGCAACACAAGCCCUCCUUUAUCCAUGCUUGCAACCAGAAAGGAAAAGAAUUUACUGAACUUCUGUAGAUAAAGGCAUGUAAAACAAAUCUUUGCAAACAAAAGGAACUGACCUCUCUAUCACUAACAGAAGGAAACUUGUAUUCCUCAUCAUCAAGGCCAACAAAACCCCCAUUACCAUCAUUAUCAUCAUCCUCCAGACCCCCUAACUCGACUUCCUCCAUGACAUCCUUACCAAAGAAUGCGUAUCGUGAGGCAUCAAAAAGAGAAUUACCUGAAGAGAUCAGAAGGCCAAGUUAAAAGUCCAAAAACUGCGUUAGUCAUGAUAAACAAUUGCAAGAGGCUAGAAGAGAACAGUUGUAUUAGAUAAUGAAUCAGAUAAAAAUGAAAUAACAACAAGAAUACAUAUUCCAGAAAAAUAUAUAUAUUAUAGUGGCAUCAAUAUUUGGUAGCAAGAAACGGGCGAAAAAGCAUAUAAACUGGAUUUAGUGAAGGGUACGGUACAUAAUGAUACUCAUGUCAGCUUUUAGUCAAAUCUCUGAUAAAAGCUACAGAUAAUAAAACGCAUUAAAAAUUUACUAUAAUGCGGUAUCGAGGAACAUACAUGCAGACACAAAUUCAUGCAGGAACUCAAGCACAACAAAAGCUUCAUGUUUUAAUGGAGAAACAUUCAGAUUGAUCCGCUGAAACUACAUCAGAAAAAUUCAAGCAUUUAUUGUCAUGCACAUCAGCAGCAAAGAAACUCAAGAAGAGAGCAUGGACUUACAGAUCUGCACCACUUAAACGCUCUCUGGUCACAUCGAAUGAGCAUAUCCAUAACAUAAAACUAUUCUCAACCAAGAGACGACAAAAUUUCAGCUUGCACGUAAAAUCGUUCCCAAACCUUCAAUUUACAGCCGCAACAACAAAUCUCUCCCCCAAACCCAAAAACCGAACAGCCAAAAUUCACGGAAUUAAAGCACCCCAAACGGAUCAAGUAUCACCACAACCACAGACGAAAACAAGAAGAAACAAAAGCUCACCGGCGGCGCCAUCGCCCGAUUCUCUGGCCCCGUCGUUAGGUUUAGGGCUUCCCUCGGCAUCGAGUCCCCUCAUGGCGCCCGGCCGCGAGCCGCUAACACCCGAAAGACCAACACCGACGGACGACGGAACCGAUCAACAGGACCAUAAAGAUGGAGCAAGGAUUACCUCCCUCGGAUCCGAGUCUAGGGUUAGGGUUCCCGGCGAGGUGAGAUCUGGGAGGGAGCAAACCUUGGUCGGUCAAGAGAGGACUGGCAUUUAACCUCCUCAUAAAUAAAUAAAUAAAUAGAAAAAAGAGGGGAGAAAUAAGCGAUCUAAAAGAACCGAAGUAUCAAAGUGUACACGGAGAGACUAUUAGUGCUGAAGUGGGUUGGCUUCUUUAUAUAUUCUCUCUCUUUUGUGAUCCUCUUCGAUCUCCCACACUAUUAGCAUAAUAAAUAGUGGGAUAGAAUAGUAGCGUGUGCUGUUCCCAAUCAUUCUCAUUUAUUCUUUUAUUUUUAAUUGAUAAUUAAUGAUACAUCAAACCAUGCUAAUAUAAGUAUUAUAGUAGUGUCUAUUGCAAUUAAAUUGUGCAGUGUAGUUGUGUUGUUUACUUGUUGAACCUUUAUUGACAUACUUGUGACUCAAUUAGAUUCUAAAUUAGAUCAUGAGAGUCUUGAGUAUAUUAUUUAUUUAUUAUUUUUAUUUUUAUUUUUAUAUAUUUUAAAAAUUAGGUAAGUGGGUAAUGGUAUCAAUAGUAUAUUUUUUUGGGGGGUAGAAUUGAAUUAGGUGAAGUAGAAUUAUGAGGGCUGGAAUAUUAUUCUUUUGGGUGGAGGCAUUGGUUAUGUCUAAUCAAUGUUUUAGCAAACAUGGGAAAUAGAUUGGUUAGGAUUAGAAGUUCAUAAUCACAAAAUAAAUAAUAAUGAACUUGGCAAAGAGAUUAAAAAAUUAUGGGAUAAAUAUGUAGGAGUUGUAGCUGCUUAUAAAAAACAAAAAUAUAUUUAGCAUGGGCAAAAAGCUGAUGCAUGCUGUUAACACCAAAAACAGGUCUCACACUGACUGCAGCAGAGUCCUCUUGUCUCCAGAAUUCUCAGACUUCAAACAAUGUGGGGAAAGAGCCUGGCAAUUGGACCCCCUCCCAUUUUUCUAAUCAGAAAUUAUUAUUAUUAUUAUUUUAAUGAAAACAUAAAUUAUUAUUUAUUUCACAACAUGAUUAUAAAAUGCAUCAUGUUCAUCAGAGCUUAUAGAAGAGAGAGAGAGAGAGAGAGAGAGAGAGAGAGAGAGAGACCAGUAGGCUAAUUUUGUUUGGUUCUAGCAAUGUUUCUGAGUCAAUUACUGAAUUGGUUUCAUUUCCUAAGCACAUUUGCUAUAUCUCUGCAUAUCUUUAAUUAUGUUCAAUACAUAUCAGCAUCAGAAUCAUUUCCAAAAAAAAAUUAACACUGAUUGAACAAAAGCCAAUAGCUUCACUUCUCUUCUAAUCAUCAUUCCUUUUUUUCUUUGAUUCAUGUUCUCUCAACUCUUUCUUCAGCAUAAUUCCUGGGAGGAAGGAGAGCAUUGUUGCAGUAUUUGCUUAUAAUUUUGAUGUCUUGUGAAUUCCAUUCCACUGCAUUGCUUGCACAUGAACAGCUGAAUCAAGUUUUCAGCACUACUUUAAGUCUAUUUAGGCAUCUAAAUUGUUGCAUUACUCUAUUCAUUUUCUGCACCUUUUUUUUUCCGACUGCUAUUAGAAAUAAUUAGCUAACACAACCAUUAACUUGAAAGCUAAGCAAAGUAAGAAGAAGCCUAUUCAUGAUUAUACAUUCUACAAACCAAGCAAUGGAAUGCUGAAAUCACCAACCUUGCAUUGUUUAACCCCAUAAUAGCACCAUUAAUUUAGUAUUUCCACCAACAAACUCAUUGUAUUAUUCUGAUUUAAGCUCUCAUGCCAUCACAUCAAAGCUAAACUAAAAUUUCUGAUCAGGGAUCAAAAUCACCCAAUUUAUCUGUGUCUGAGCUUAAUGAUAGUUAGGAGACAUGUUAGGUUAGGUUGAUAUGUUUGGCCCAUGCUAUGUUGGAUUGGGUUUAUACAACAUUGAUGCAGCACCUAACUAUGCACAACAGCUAUGGCCAGAUGAGUGUAUAUAUAAAGUCAUGAUUGUUUCCACUCUAAGCUACAAGGAUAUCUCUCCCUCCCUUCUCCUCCUCCUCCUCCUCUCUCUCUCUCUCUCUCUCUCUCUCUUGCUAUUGAGUGUAAGAAGAGGAAGAUGAACACUAUACUGAGGAAGUGCAAGAGCUUGUCAAAGCUAGGGAGGAGUUCGUCUUACAGUAGUUUGAGGUCGAAAUCCACGAGAGAAGAUGAGUUGUGGCCGGAAGACGGCGCUGCAAUCAGUGCAGACAACGGCGCCGACGAGGUGGCGGUGUUCGUGGGGAGAUCGAGGCGGCGGUACUUGGUGAACUCGAAGCACCUGAAUCACCCACUGCUGAGUGCGCUCAUCGAUCGAUCUAAGCUCGGUGAGAUACGCAUCAAGUGCGAGGUUGUGCUGUUCGAUCACCUGCUGUGGAUGCUGGAGAACGCGGAGCUCGACGCGGCCGACGACGCCGCGACGCUGGAGGAAUUGGCCGAGCUCUAUGCAUGCUGAGGCGUUUUGGAUGAAUUAUUAUGAGAUAUAAAACUAUAUAUACAGAUAUAAUAUUGUUUGAAUUCAAUUCGGUCCUAAUUAACUUGUGAUCAAAGAGGUUUGAUAGAGCUGCAAAAACAAGCCUAUCCGCAUCUGUUUUGUUCAUGUGUUGCUUGCAGUAUAAUAAAGUUCGUAAUGCUUCCAGUUCAUGUGUUGCCUUGAUGACAUUGUUGUCUUUUUGAUUCCAAUUAGGGCUAUUUGAUUUCAUAUGGACUAUCCCAAAUAGUUCAAAUAAAUAUGUUUGGAAAUAGACAUGAGAAUUUUCUUGAUUUAUUUAUUUCUCUGAUUUUUAUUUUUAUUUGUGAAAAAAAGAAAUAUAUUAUUUAGUAAAUCAAUAAAUUGAUAUAAAUUAUUUUAUAAAAUAUAUUUUUUUUUUCGAAAAAAUCUGUGAGAAAAUUCGAUAUAAAGACAUUAAUUUCUAAUUUUUUCCUUAUUUAUCUGGUUUUGUUUUCUUUUUCUUUUCGGUGUAUUUGUUCGACAGUGUUAACUCGAUAGCAUGCGUUGGGUAACCCGAAAGCUGUCUCCUUUGAUGUAGUUGGAAUACAAAUCAAAAGAACAGCUCCUCCUACCGCCGCCAGACGUCGUCGACGAAUCCCCUGCUUGGAAGACAUGGACGCCGCAGGGUUGGACUCGGAAGGGCGAGGGUUCGCGAGCGCGAGGGAGAUGUGGAGAGAAGAGAUCGGCAUCGGAGAGGAAGGGGAGGAAGCGGAGAACGGCGCCCCCUGCAAACGCCGUGACUGGUAUCAGAAAGGCAUCGCCUACUGGGAGGUAAUCGAAUUCGCACCCAAUUAGACACCGGUUCCCCGACGUUUCCGCUUUCUUGUUCCGAUGACCUAAUGGAGGGCUUCUCUUCCGCUCGUACAAGGGAGUGGAGGCCUCUGUGGAUGGUGUCUUGGGAGGGUACGGGCACGUCGACGACGCCGACGUCAAGGGAAGCGAGGCCUUUCUUAAACCCCUCUUGCUCGACCGCUUUGGAAGCGGCGCACGCCAUCCUGUGGCUCUUGGUAAACCUCUUUCAUGCCGCUCUUUUGCAGUGAACAUGUCUUGGAAAAUGCCCGUGAGGGAAAAUUUUGACCUUGCUCGGAAUAAUGAUGGCCUUAAUAACUUCUAAUGUUGCUUUUUCCUUCUGUUGUUUUCUUUUGUUUGGAUUGGGUGUGUGCGCGUUGGAUAUGAACAAAUCAACGAACAUGUAUGUGUGCUUUACGUGAUGUAUGUAAGUCUUGCAGAUUGUGGUUCUGGCAUCGGAAGGGUCACCAAGAAUCUUCUUUUGAGAUAUUUUAAUGAGGCAAGUAACUCUGCUUCGUCUUAAUCAGCACUAUUGUUUUGCUCGUUCAAUGGCAUAGUAGAGUUCAUAUGGCCUCACGUAUUCAAUAAUGACCAUCCAGCCUUAAAGGUGAAAAGCUUUCUAUUCCAUAUCAAAUUGUAGUGCUAAGCUGUCGAGAAGCCAUAAGAACUUACACUCACUGCCCAACUAACAUAAUAUGCCACAUGCUGCUGCUGCUGCUCCUGUAAGUAAAUAGAACAAAAGCACUCAAUAAAGACACAAAAAAUUGAAAUUCUACAGCCUCACAGAUUCCUCUAAAUCCUCUUUGUACAUUGUUUAUACAAACUAUGAUGGUUAUGUUCCUUUCAUAGUAAAUCACAGAUACAGACAUGCAUUUUCCAAUUGUUUGCCUUUGCAAUGAUCGAUAAACCACUCCACCCCUUGGGACAAAGGCAAAGCUUUCCUAUUUAUUCGAACACCAUUAGAGGUCUUUACUUUUUCGGUCUGCUUUGACUCCACAACUUAAUUUUUUUACUGCCAAACACUUUAUAGCUGCAAAUGUUUUCAAGCACUUUUUCACCUUUCUGUGAAUGUUCAACCUGAGAUUUUGUUCAUGCACUUUUUCUUUACCAUUUUGUCUCUGAAAGAAUCUCGUUUUCCAUGAAGCAAUUUGUCACCUGAGUUAUCAACAUAGAUAGUACAAGUGCUAGGCAUGAGAAGAAUGUUUUACAUUGUAUUUGGUUGUGUCCUAAUAGUAGACAUCUUGGAAUGGUAAUGGAAUAUUUGAUUUGGUCCAUGUAAAAAGGAACAGAUAUCUCUUACAUAUUUAGGGAAGCCAUAAGUUAAAUGGAAGUGGAACAGUGAGAAUGGAUUUUUAACUUUGUGUAUUUGUUGAUGAUUUUCUGUUCAAGGUAAGUGCUUUCUUGAAGGCCUACAUUAAUGCUUCCAGAGAGUGCUUUGUUUAAAGGAGAUGGUGCAGUUUUAUGAAUUGUCAACCACUCUUUUUCAAGCUGUUUUCAGCCACUUCAAAUCUCCCACCAUUUUAGUUUCAGUUCUACUGCUCAUUUUGGAUGUUUGUUAGAAUGUUUGAUGUCAGUAAAAGGUUCAAUUGGUUUUGACACAGGUUUGCUUUCAUGUGUGAAGGACUAGUAUGGAUGUUUGACAGUGUUCUAUUUUGAGUAACUAUUGGAAUGAGAUUUGAGAUAUAUGAGGAUUAGCACCCAAGGGAUCCCAAGACAAGGCAGAUACAUAUAAUGAAUCACGAUAUAGGCUUCUUGUCUCAAUAAUGGGUAUACAAACUAAAGGACUACGAGAUGAUGGAGAAGUUAAAUUCUGAAUUUUUUGAACUCGACUUAGUUAAGUACCAACAGUUGGUCUGAUGGGAUUUUAAGUAUGUAAAAUGUAAACAUUGAGGUACAAUAAGCAAGUGAAAAUGCACUUGCAGUCAUUCUUUGCAGCAGAUAGACAAAGAACAAAUAUAUAAAUUUAUGGUGUAUAUAUCUUAGAGAUGUCAAAUGUGGAUGGAUUUAUCUGAAUCCUAUUCUUGGCAUAUGAUAACAACUCCAGUUUUGAUACUAGUAUCUGCGCAUUGUCAUUCCUUAUAUUACUGAGCUCCGUAUCAUUCAGUUGCAGUUUGUUUAGCAGAUUCCUAAGACAAUGCUUUCACAGUAUAGAACUUUUUUAUCAUGGUUUUCUGGUUUAACAGUUAUUUCCUAGCCUGAACUUAUGCCAUUUUACCAUGACUAGUUUGAUAGCUUUGUGCAACUUUGUUGAAGGGCAUAGCAGUAAAUUUCUAGUUUGUUAGUUAAUAGUUUAUCUUAGACAUGCAUCCUACCUUAUUUUGGAUUUGGCUUGCCAUUUUAUUCAAAAAGUGUGAGAUGGCCAUGUUUCUUAAUCCAGGUUGACCUUGUUGAGCCAGUAUCACAUUUUCUUGAAGCUGCUCGUGAGAAGUUAGCUACUGAUAAAGAUAAUUCUGAUCACAAAGCUAUCAAUUUUUAUUGUGUCCCUCUACAGGUUUUGUUUUCUUUGUUGCCCAUUGAUAUUUUAUUGGUUAACCUCUAUGAUGGUAUUAAAUUGUUGUUUAAUUGAUGUUAUUGUCUGUUAAAUUAAUUUUUUUAAAUCAUGCAGGAAUUCACUCCAGAAGUUGGAAGAUAUGAUGUUAUAUGGAUCCAAUGGUGUAUAGGACAACUCACAGAUGAUGACUUUCUCUUGUUUUUCAAGAGAGCAAAGGUAAUCAAUUGUCUUAAAUGGCUUUACAGCUUUUAUGCUUUAGGCCUUGUUUUUUUUAACCUAGCUGCGUAACUUGAAAAAUAGCAAAAAACAUGAACCAGUUAACCAAAUCUUUAGCUAGAUGACGUGCAGGCUUGUGUGUGCAAACACUUUUAUACCUUACUGCAGCAUAGAUAACUCAAGAUUUUGGCUUCAUCUCAAGAUUUCGAUACAUGACAUUGAAACACACAACCGAAUCUUCUGCUAGAUGACAUGCAGUCUUGUGUGUGCCAACACUUAUGUACCUUGCUGCAAAGGGAUUUUGUGUGGCAUCAGCCAACUUCCUUGAGUUGGUCUCACUAGUAUUGAUAUUAACUGUUCUUCUUUAGGACAUGGUAACUAGUGAUGGCUGAGCUGAAAGCUUUUAAACCCAUGAUUUAAGAUUAAUUAAUUCUCCAGAUGCUAAUAUUUUUCCUUAAGAACUUAAAUUUCUUGUUCUUCAAUAAAUAUAUCUCCAUUGAUAUUUUGAAUUCUGAAGUUGCUCUUGCUUCUGCAUAUACUUCUUGAGUUUAUAAGUUAAUGUAGUCUGGAUUGUAGCCAGUUCACAGAAAUUCAUUAUGUUUGUAAAGUUCUUAUUAAAUAAUUUCUCAUCCUUAUCCUAUCUUGUGUGCCAUGUUCCAUCUAUGUUAUUUGUAUUAUUUCUUUGAGUUUUUCUCCUUGUGUGUAUUGGAGAUAAAUCUAUAAUCUCCUUUCUGUUCAUUAUGUCAGUCUUUUUAGUGAGGAGCAAUACGUUGCCUUUCAAAUUCCUUACAUGGCACAUCUACACAUUUUUUAGUAAAGAACAAUAUGUUGCCUUUCUAUGGUUAGAGCUUGCAGUCCACGCAAGUCAGUCAGGAUUGGUUGGGUUUGUUUUGGGCUCAUUAAAAACUACUGGAGCAUACUAUAUCAAAAGGGCAAACUUUGUACAUAUCCCAUGUGUGAUUUGGAUAGAGUAAACAUAUACAAUCUUACCUCUGAUAUAGAGAGGUUGCUUUCUGACUUGAACUCUGGUAGUAAGAGCAACUGGUGCUAUAGUGAAAAUGAUUAUGAAUGAGGGCUGUUGGGGAAGAAACCCCAUGGUCCUUUGGUGUAAUAUAGUCAACUAUGAGUAACAAAGCUGAAAUUAACCUAUAUCACCGGUAACAGGUAAUUUCAUACCAAUAAACCCUCAACCACAAAUUAAACAAGAGGAAAAGUGUUUCUUCCUUAAUUAUUAGCUUUAUAAUUAUUUUGCAAACAAAAAACUUGUCCAGUAUACUAUGGGAUGCAUUUCGUACUUGUUGGAGCUAUUAAUGUUUUAGUCAUGAUGCUGCCACCUCUGUGUUACUAAUGAACAUCUAAUUUGCAGGUUGGCCUUAAACCAAAUGGAUUUUUUGUAGUGAAGGAGAACACUGCAAGAAGUGGUUGGUCCCUACAAACGACUACUAUUUGUAGAUUUACAGUAAAUUUUUUCACACUUGUUCAUAACUCCAUACAAACGCGUGGAUAUGAAAAGUUUUAUGUCAGGAAUAAAUUUACAUGUUUUUCUCUGUUCUCGAGUGUUUGAUUGAUGGCCAAGGAGCACAUUGUAUCAACACAAGGAAGUUUCUUGCUUUUGAUUGUUUCUUGAUUGCAUCAGGCAUUAUGAUUGUUAAAACCAGUGAAAAUAUUGUUUACAAGUUUCUCUAGUUGGGAGUUGUAAAUCUAUUAAUUUAUAUUUCUAGAUGCAUGUUCUGUGCUUAUCAUUAAUUUUGAAAAUUGGAUAUGGUUGUUGAGAUGUUAAAGGGACUUCAUAAUUAUGUUUGGUUAUCAGGGAUUAUUAUAAACAUUUCUUGCAUGCCUAGCUAGCUAUUUUUUAACUAAAGUUUGCCAUUGUGAUGGCUUGCCUUUAUAACGAACCUGCUUUUCAGGCAGGGAAUGCUACCUGAAAGUUUGUUGGAUUUAUCCAACAAAUUGAAUCAGGAUCUGCCAAAUAAUUAAAGGCAAAUUCUAUUAUCAUUUGGAUCAAAGUUUAUAAGCUGAAUAAUACCCUAUUUUACCAAAGUUUAUAUUCAUAAACUGACUCUUUAUUUUCAAGAAGUAUGGAUCUGAAGAUGAGGCUAAGGUGGCUCUAUUGCCAGAAAAUAUUCUGUUAGGCAUACUUGCAAUGAUUAGAUUGAAUCGUUGGCUUCCACCAAAGCAAAUAAUCUAGAAUGGAACUAGGUUUCGCAGUUGACUUUUUUUUUAAUUAACCAUAGUAUUUGGUUAACGUACAUCAUCCCUCAUCUGUUCAGGAUUUGUGUUAGAUAAGGAGGACAACAGCAUCACAAGAUCUGAUUCAUACUUUAAAGAGCUUUUCAAGCAGUGUGGACUUCAUCUUUAUCGCACAAAGGUUUGCUGCAUCUUUUUUACUUCAAGAUGAUGAGCUGUCAAAACCUACGAGAAAUCUUUCUUGUGCAAGAACUGAUAGGUAAUGUAGUGUUUGAUUACUUGGUUUUUGGUUUCAGGAUCAGAAGGGAUUUCCUGAAGAGUUAUUUCCCGUUAAGAUGUAUGCGCUGGUAACUGAUAGGCGACAAGGUUCCAACAAUGGCAGAGGCAAGACUCGACAACACAAGCCUGCUGUCAUCAAGUCAUGAAAUCUCUCGAGGACCCGUCACCAAUACCUGGAUGCGAUCUUGCUCGUUUUUCUUUAGUUUUUGUCGUCUCUAAGAGAAUGGAUUACCUUUUCAUGUGUUGUCAUGUUGUAGAACAUCAUGGUUAUCAUCUCUAUCUUCUCACCAUGAUUUGUACUAAUACAAAAGAAGGCAUAAAGAACAUAGGGAAUUCAAGCCCAGACUAUGACACCACUUCAGUCAUUUGGUUGGAUUUUACAGUGCAUCUUCAUCACGUUUGAACCAUUUAUGUUAUUUGCUUGCAAUAUUGAAAGUUGGAACUCAGUUAGGAAGGUGCAAUACCAUAAUUGUUUAGUUUUAGGUUUGUGUAUGGUUUACGAUUUCGUAUCUCGGUGGUGUAUCAGAUUCAUAGUCAUAUUAUAUCGAGCUACUCAUGUACUAAUUGUCAAUUGAAAUUAAUCUUAAAAAAUAAAAAAAUAAAUCAUCUGGUAUGGAAAUUGUGUUGGGUGGCACAAAACUUUGAUAAAAAGUUGAAAACAAGGAAAUAUAUGUUUUUCAUAAGACUUGUACAAAACAUACUAUAGGAUUGAUAAACCCAAUUCAUAUUUUGAUCGACAGAGUGAGAAUUCUUUUACAUAAUUGAAUUCAAUAUGGUUUGAAUCCUUUCAAAUAAAAACACACUUUGGUUCUUUUUUAAGAAGUGUCAAAUCAACAUAAAUGGUUUGGCCGUUCUCCUGCUUCAUAUCCUUUCAAUGUGGAACCUUUGCAUUCUAGAGAGAGACAGCGUCCUAAUAUUUCCAUCAUGCGUGGAAGAAACACCUCUUUUCUAUCUAUUCUCUAUCUUAUGUCAAACUGCAUUAUCUUCGGCAUUAUAUUAUUCAAUCUUCUGGCGUCUUUUACAAACUCACGUUAUCUUUUCCAUGACGUCUUUGAUUUUUCUGCCAUAUGAUUUAAAGCUCGCUUUGACGACUGCUCUCUUCUCCCCCUUACAAAUUCCCCACCUCCCCCCCUCGGAUCUGCACAACACAGAGCACGAAGCCUAAGACUCGCAGUUAGAUGGCUUCGUCCAGCAUUCUCUCCCUCUCCUUCUUCUUCUUCUUCUUCUUCUCCCUUCUUGUCACCCUCUCCCAUGCCGCCACCUUCGAGAUCGUGAACCGAUGCUCUUACACAGUGUGGGCCGCGGCCGUGCCUGGCGGCGGACGCCAGCUCAACCAGGGGCAGUCGUGGACCAUCAACGUGAACGCGGGAACCACCGGCGGCCGCAUCUGGGGCCGCACCGGCUGCUCCUUCGACGGGAGCGGACGCGGGCGGUGCCAGACGGGCGACUGCGGCGGCGUGCUGUCAUGCACGGCGUACGGCAGCCCGCCCAACACCCUGGCGGAGUUCGCGCUCAACCAGUUCAACAACCUCGACUUCUUCGACAUCUCCCUGGUCGACGGCUUCAACGUGCCAAUGGACUUCAGCCCCACGUCAGGCGGCUGCCGCGGCAUCCGGUGCGCGGCGGACAUCAACGGGCAGUGCCCCGGGGCGCUGAAGGCGCCGGGCGGCUGCAACAACCCCUGCACCGUGUUCAAGACGGACCAGUACUGUUGCAACUCCGGCAGCUGCAGCCCGACCGACUACUCCCGGUUCUUCAAGAGAAACUGCCCCGACGCCUACAGCUAUCCCAAGGACGAUCAGACGAGCACCUUCACCUGCCCCGGCGGCACCAACUACAGGGUUGUCUUCUGCCCUUGAGAUCACUGACGCCACUAAUAAGCCGCCCUCGUGCAGGCAACCACGCAUAUAGAUAUAUAUACUAGUCUCCUACAAUACAAAUAAGAUGUCAAGAGUGAUGGAAGGUAUUAGCCUUCUCUUGGGCUAAUACUGUUGACUGAUGUAAUAGAAGUGGUGCAACCAACUAAUAAGAUGCAUAAUAUCAUCACAGCAUGAGUGCUUUUCCAUUGAUGUUUGAAUCAUUUUGUGAGAGCAAUCAGCUUAUGCAAUCAGCAAAAAGAAUAAUUAAACCAUUUCUAUUUAUGUCUUGUUGGCUUAAAACAUGAAUUGAUUUUGAAACAUAAUGAACCCUACAUAUAUAACUUCAUAAAAGAUAUCUCAAGGACCAUACAUUAUACAUACAUAUAUACAUAUAUAUACAUAUAUAUACACAUAUAUAUAUACAUAUAUAUACACAUAUAUAUACAUAUAUAUAUAUAUACAUAUACAUAUAUAUAUAUAUAUNNNNNNNNNNNNNNNNNNNNUAUGUAUAUAUAUAUAUGUAUAUAUAUAUAUAUCAUUUAGGAUGAUGAGUCAUCGCCUAUCCAAUUUGGACCUCUGCCAUUCUCCGUAGAAACUUUGCGUAGCCAUUUUCCAAUACAAUUGCGCGUUGACCAGAGUGCGUCCAUGUGAUCCUCCCCGGUAAGUUUGGUGCCCGAAAUUAUCCGGCAAGUAUGGCUUUAAAUAUUGGAAUUAGUUGCUCUUUGUUUUACGUAGGCCGAUCAAGAUGAACAGAGAGAAUGAUGCUGACUAAUUGAGCCCUGACCAAUCGAGGGCUUCAGGACUCGAGCCCCGACGCGCCCUCGGGAAGCUGCCGCGGGAGGCGGACAUCGAUGGGCAGUGCCCGCAGGUGUUGAGGGCGCCGCGGCGGGUGCACCGCUCGACCGUGUCCAAGGCGGACCGGUACUGCUGCAGCUCCUGCAACUGUGCGUCAAGCGGCUACUUCAGCUUCUUGAGGAGGAACUGCACCGAUGGCUAUAUCUUCCCACAACCUUACGGCCUGGCUUCCACCACUAGUUUCUACGGUAGUCUUCCUCCUCCAAGAGUCGAAUUCAGCUUCCUACAAGAUUAUAAUGAUGGUUUGUAUCAAUUAGUUGUUAAAUUGUAUUUUGGAACCUAAUACAUAUUUUAAAUAUAAAUUCAUAUUUAAAGUUUCUUUAACAUCACAUUUGUCAUGAAUAUAGUGUCAGUAAAUGCUUAAAUUCUGAAACUAUCUUAGAAUAAUUAUAACAUCUCGAGUAAUCUCACAUAAAAAAUGAAUAAGAUUAAAAUUAACUUAUGAUAGUAUAUUACUAUCAAUAUUAAUUUGAAUAUUUUGAUUGCUUGGAUUCAAGAAAAUUGAUAAGUCAAUUAGUUAAUCAAUUGUGACAUUCGAUAUCAAAUUAGUAUUAGGAUAUAGUAUAAUCAAAUUACUAUUAGCGUAUCGUGAGUGAGCUUCGUACUCGUUCAUUGUGAAGUCAUCUUGGGCUAUGUCUUACAUGCCGCGCUAUAUUGAGUCUUUGACAAUGAUUAAUUUUUUUUUUAUAGUUCACACAUAAAAAUAGAUUUUGAACUAUUUAAUUUUAAAAAUCAUAUUAUUUAUUAUAAAAUAUAUUUAUUAAAAUUUAAUUAACUAAUAAAAUUAUUAACUUAUUCACAUAAUUAAGAAAAUCAAUUUUAAUCAUUUUCUUAGCCAUACUAUACAAACAAAAUCACAAUGUAUAUAUUUUUCUUAAAUUUUUAUCUUAAAUGCAUGUUGCUAAUUAUAAUACUUGAUUUAUAUUUAGAUUUAUAUGAUAGUUGAUUAAAAAUAUUAUUUCUUCUCUUAUGUAAUUUUAUCUUUUUAAUAAUCUAUUGUUUAUUAUAUUUUAAUGACUCAAUGCUUGGGAUUAGAUGUUUUUUACUAUAAUUUCAUAAUGCUAUAAUUUAGAAUUGAAGAAAUUGAUUAGGAUUUGGGUUAUAUCUCACACGUACAAUCUUAGAGUUUGAGUUGGGUUUUAAUAAGGAUCAUUUAUUUUUUAUAUAAUAUUUAUUUCCUAUGAUUCACACAUAAAAAUAAAAUUUAAAUUAUUUACUUUCUAAAAAUUGCAUCACUCGUUGAGAAACGAAUCAAUUAAUAAUUUAAUUAAUUUAGUAAUCAUAUUACAUAAAUAAAAUCAUAAUGUGUAGUAUUUUAAAAUUUUUUAUCUUACAUGCAUGAUGCACGAUGAUAAUUAUAAUCCUUGGUUUCUAUUAUAUUUAUAUAGUAAUUUAUUAAAAAUAUUAUUUUCUCACUAAUGUAAUUUUAUUUUAAAAUUUAUUACUAUUUAUUAUGUUUUUAAUGACUCAAUACUAAUGAUCAGAUAUUCUAAUUAGUAGUCAUAUUAGUAAUCAUUAAGAAAUUUAAUUUAAAUUAUUUCAGUAAUAAUAUUACAUAAAUAAAAUCAUAAUGUGUAGUAUUUUUAAAAUUGUUAUCUUACAUGCAUGAUGCAUGAUGAUAAUUAUAAUACUUGGUUUCUAUUAGAUUUAUAUAAUAAUUUAUUAAAAUAUUAUUUUCUCACUUAUGUAAUUUUAGUUUUAAAAUUUAUUACUAUUUAUUAUGUUUUUAGUGACUCAAUACUAAUGAUCAGAUAUUCUAAUUAUAUUUUUUAUAUUUUAAAAUUAAGAGAAUUGAUUAAGAUUUAAGUUGAAAUCAACAAACAAUUAGAGCUAACCCAUAGGCUAGCCACAACUCGUAGAUUAAGCUCAGCAAGCAAGUCAACCCAUAGCCUAUAGGACUCCAAUAUGAUCAGUUAUGUAAUGUACAGACCAAGUCAGAUUUCAUAAACUUAGAUAGAUUCAAGGUAAUUCUAAACUUAUUUAGUCUAUUCAUGUCUAUCUAAUCUAAAUCGAACUCAAUCUAGUCCAAAGUAUACAAGUCUAAGAUGAUUCUAGACUGAUUAAAUGAGAAUUAAAAAUCGAUUUUAUUAUACUAGAGUUAAAUCGAGUUCAAUUGAUUUUAAUUAAACUCGUUUAGAUCGAUUAAGUUCUAGUUAAAUCAGGUUCAAUUAGACCGAUUGAGUUAAGUUAGAUAAAACCUAGGGAUAUGAGUUAUAAAUAAUAUUCAUCAAAUUUCUUCAAUCUAAUUUAUGCUAAAAUAGUUCAAUAAUAAAAAAUAAUAACUGCAAUAAUUAUUGAAUGUUAAUCAGUAUAAUGAAAAAUUCAUAUAAUAACUAUAAUUAUGAUAAGUCAUGAAUUAUAUUUUUAUAUAAUUUUCAAACAUAUUAUAUAAAUAAUCAAAUAAAUAUCCAAGAAAAAUAAUUAGAUUUUUAUUUAUCACAUGCAAAAUUUUAUCAAUAUGACAAAUAAGAAAAUUAUUAAAGAAAAAUCAUAAUUUAUAUUUUUAAAAUUUUGUAUGAACCCUUAUACCAAUCAACCCUAUUUAAUUAGGUAAGCCCAUAAUUGGACUACCUAAAUUGGGCUAACAAUUUGCCUAAUUAGACCCAUUAAGAUUAAAGUUGAUCAAAAUAAAAAAAAGAUCAAAAAUAACUUUUUUUUAAUUUGAUCAAAAACUUAAUUGGUCGAAUUUAAAUCCAACCAAAUAGUUAAAAUAUAGUAAUGAUUAAGCUCGUUUAAAAGAUUUGAUUAAAAUAAAUCAAAUUAAUAAAUUUUAUAAUUGAGGGCAUAUCUCAAAAUAUUUUAAUUCAAAAGGGUAAAACUAUAAUUUUACUGGGAUAUGUAGAGAAAAUAUCUAAUUUCUGAAGAAUAUAAUUAUCAAAAGGACACAAGUUGAAAUUAAAAGACUUUAUAAGAAUAAAUUUAUAAUUUUAAAAAUAAAUCCUAAUCUUUCACCCAGAAAGGCUCUCUCGCAUUUGUCAUUGGUUCCACCAUGCCCACACGCAAAAGUCAACACCGCAGUGUUCGCCCACCACCUGCAUGGACAACGAGGCAGUUGUCCUUAUGCAUUCAAACGAUAACCUCAUCGGUCGUCGCGUUGUGCCAUGCUCAUGAGUGGCUAUUAUCAUCGUGCGCUUGACUAUAACACUUCAAAAACAAUAUGUAUGUCACUGACCGGAAGCUAUCGCGUAGUUACGCACACAUGCCGAUCGAUAACCCCCAGAAUCACUUUGAUGUGUGACUGUGCUCGCUUGUCUUGCUACAUAGUCGUUGGGAACAAUGGCUUUCAGUGUCCAAUCGAUGUUGACCAUGGCCAACAAGCACUACCACAGUGGUAUUACUGUAACCAUUGUACGUAGUGAAGCUAUAUAGCCACUAUAGGUGCAUGCGCACAUAGUGGCACUGUUACAAUCAUCGCACUUAGUAUUAUACCCCAUGGUGCUUCCAUUAGGUACGCAAUUGCUACUCGCGAUUGAACUAAUGACAAUCAAAAGUUGUCGCUCUUAACCAUAUUGUUAUCGACAAUAAGCUAGUCACAGUGAUCCAUUGAUCAAGUACGAGAAAAUUCAUAUCUCCCACAAAUAGGUGAUAAGAUCGAUUAAAUAGAAAAAUAGAUCAAUAAUAUAUAUGAAUCAUUCAUACAUCGUAAAUAAAAAAUUGAAUAACACUUUUUCAUAAGCCAAAGAUGCUAACAAAUAUAUCUAAAAUAAUUUAUUUUACAAACAUGACUCUGAUAUCAAUUGUAAGUAUAAAAACCAUCCUUAUGCUAUUGUUAUGCAGAAAACUUUAACACCAAAAUCUAAAAUCAAAUAAUAAUAGAUAAGAUUCAUGAUACGUACAUUUUGAUGCUAGUUAAAAAAGCUCUUAUAUGAUCUAUAGGUACACCAUCGUUGGAUCUGAAAGUUAUAGUAAUAUCGAUCUAUAAGAAGAAUUAGACUCAUCGUUUUCUCAUUUUCUAUCCUUUAUAGGACCACUACAAUGGAUUUAGAGACUAAGGGGAGAUGAGAGAAGAUUUAUAAUUUCUCACUGACUUAUUCACAAAAAUUUAUAAUUUUUUAAUAAUAUUUUGUAAACACGUAUCGUUUUUAUCUUCUUAUAGUAUUUCUAGGUGAGAAUAGAAAAUCUAUGAUAAGUAAUGAAUAGGGUCUUUCUAAUCAAAAUCUAUCUCUUAACGAAUUUUAUGAUAAUUUAAUUUUUUAUCAAUCUAUAAUCAUAAUUAAAAUUUAAUCAUAUCUAUAAUAUAUCUUAAAUAAAUAAUUAGUGAUAUAUAAUCUGACACCUCUCUCUUCUCUCCCUUAUAAAUUCCCCACCUCUCCACCCCUCGGAUCUGCACAACACAGAGCACGAAGCCUAAGACUCGCCGUUAGAUGGCUUCGUCAAGCAUUCUCUCCCUCUCCUUCUUCUCCCUUCUUGUCACCCUCUCCCAUGCCGCCAACUUCGAGAUCGUGAACCGAUGCUCUUACACAGUGUGGGCCGCGGCCGUGCCCGGCGGCGGACGCCAGCUCAACCAGGGGCAGUCGUGGACCAUCAACGUGAAAGCGGGAACGACCGGCGGCCGCAUCUGGGGCCGCACAGGCUGCUCCUUCGACGGGAGCGGCCACGGGCGGUGCCAGACGGGCGACUGCGGCGGGUUGCUGGCGUGCACGGCGUACGGUAGC